rnacentral:rRNA from 1 species
UACGUAGGGUGCAAGCGUUGUCCGGAAUUAUUGGGCGUAAAGAGCUCGUAGGUGGCGGGUCACGUCGGGUGUGAAAGCCCGGGGCUUAACCCCGGGUCUGCAUUCGAUACGGGUCUGCUGGGGUCCGGCAGGGGAGACUGGAAUUCCUGGUGUAGCGGUGAAAUGCGCAGAUAUCAGGAGGAACACCGGUGGCGAAGGCGGGUCUCUGGGCCGAUACUGACGCUGGAGGAGCGAAAGCGUGGGGAGCAAACAGG